GCACCUGUGAGGAGAGUGCGGUGACCUGGGGCUCACUGGCUUGUUAAAGCCACCCAACCGCCCCGGGGACUGGGUGGACUCGUUUACUGAGGAGGACUCGGGCCCUGCGAGGUGAAGACACUUGGCUGCGAUGACACGGCAGGGUUCCACGUCGACUUUCUGGCCGACCCAUUUUCCCUGUUCUUUCUGCCCCUGCACCUCACCGUACCGUCAUUUGCGUGGCUUCUUGGCUCGUAGCCUCGGGAUCCCUAGUGGAAAGCCCUGAGCCCGGCCCAGCAGAGUUCUGGGCGGCUGUGGACAGAGGGAAUGCCGGUUCUAGGAGCCACAGCCCUUGUCUCUUUGUUUCACUCUGGAUGUGCUGCCUUGUGGCGACUGACUGCUCCAGUCUAGCUUCAAGCCUGAGGGCCCCGAAUGUCCCGGCGGGACGUGAGUGGGAAGAGGGAUUUGUUUCCUUGGAGGUGGCUUAGUGACAGGCCCAUCCCAACCCUCGAGGCGGUGGGGGCACGCGUCAGCAUUGAGUCCGGGUUCACCUUAGUUGACUAGAGCUGUUUCUGCAUCCCCUGGGCCACCAGCCUGGAAAAGGGCAGGGAUUGGAGGCAGCUAGACGCAGGCCCUGAGCAGGUACAAUCAGGGACACCCACCCAGGUGGCUUGCCCAGAAAGCUUGGGGGAACCCUCUGCUGCAGCCUCACCAGCCCCUCCCAACAAAAAAAAGAUCUUGAGCCAAGUUAGACUUGGCUUAUCACCAUGUCAGUCACUCACAGAGCCUUCGUUUGCUCUGCGUGGGGGGAAUAAUGUCUACCACUGGGGUUGGGAGGAGCCUGCAACGGGGCCUUCCACAGGCAGUCAUAACCCGCUUUGCCUGGAAACAAACGGGACCAACCUGCUUCCAGUCCAGAAGGACCGACUCAUGGGCCAGGGCCUUGGCUCCCCGCAGCCAGAGGGAGCUAGAGUCUGGGCUGGGGAAGCGUUUCCCUUUCCCCGUCAGCCUCCCCUGCAGCUCCGUGACUGCCCCUGGCUGGGCCAGCUCAGCUCCUUUGUGCCUGGGGUGGGAAGUAAGGCACUAAAAUAUGCUGGGCGCAGCCAGGUGUCACACCGAACCCAGGCCUCCUUCAGGUUCAUGCGCCUUCGUUAGUCACCCCGUCAACCUCUGCACCCCUAGUUUUGUAAGUGAAGAAACUGGCCCAGGGAGCUCAAGUGACUGGCUGGUGACUGACUUGCUGUCAAACCCAGGACAGAUGUCUGAGCCUUGCUGAGCGCCACUUUCUCAUUUGUCAAGUGGGAGGAAUUGUUACCUUCAAGGUGGUUAUAAGGAUUAGGUGUUUAAACCUCAAAGGUGUUGGGUGAUCUUUUCCUCUAAGAAUCUUUGGAAUAAUUCUGAUACAAGGAAGAAACAAAGAGCGACUGUCUCCCUGCCCAGCCAUCCUCAGCCAUUCCUCCCGACCUGAGCCGAGUGCCAGAAGAACCAGAUUCGGUAGACGUUCAUCAGUACCUACUGUGUGCCAGGUCACUUCAUCCUGUUCCGGGUACAGCAGCUCCAAAUCGCGGGGAUUCUGUAAGAGCUUCCUACCUGUUGACUGAGGAGGCCCACAAGUUGAGGAGAACUAUCAAGAGUGGUUCAAAACUGCAGCUCAUUGGGCUGGCUACCAGGUAUUCCCACCCACCAGAAGCUAGCUGUUGUACUCACCCAGAACCAUGGUGCACCACCACAGCGGCGAGGUCAUACAGGCAGCUCUCCGGGCCACUGUUCUCAGGCUACAGAACAAGGAAGAAGGAGCAAUGGUCAAUGACAUCAGUAUCUCGAUGACCUCUAACCUCUCCGUGUGAUGACAAUCUUACUGAAGAGCCAUUUUUUCACCAUGCUAAAAAG